UUUGGGAUCUGACGCACUCAACAGCUAGCACUGUUCAUGAUAGCUGGUCGUCUCAUUUAGAGCGUUGAAUUUUACUGCACAUUAUAGCCUCUCCAAAGCUGAUCCGUAAAAUUUUGCUCUCACAUCUGAGCUAACCGAACGAAGUUCAUACAAACUAACUGUUAUUCAUCAAAAAGCAUAAAGCAUCCAUACAUAGCAUGUAAGUUAAGUCUAGUUCAACAAUGUCUUAAGUUCGACAAGAUUAACCGGAUGUCUAACAAAUAUCUCAUCAGCGGAUCAUGUCAUUCCACCUUGCCUUCAGUUGACGAAUCACGUUACACAACUUGAUGACGCUGGUCUAGAUAGCAUACCAACGAUACGAUCUCACAUUGCGUUCUUGAAUGAUGUAUAUGUCGUAUGACACAAUGUGAUUUUGUGUGUGAAACAAUUCAUGCACUUGCUGUCAGAAGGCCAACCCCCU
rnacentral:lncRNA from 1 species